AGAGUUUGAUCAUGGCUCAGGACGAACGCUGGCGGCGUGCUUAACACAUGCAAGUCGAGCGGAAAGGCUCCUUCGGGGGGUACUCGAGCGGCGAACGGGUGAGUAACACGUGAGUAAUCUGCCCCUGGCUUUGGGAUAGCCACCGGAAACGGUGAUUAAUACCGGAUAUGACCACUUCUCGCAUGGGUUGUGGUGGAAAGUUUUUCGGCCAGGGAUGUGCUCGCGGCCUAUCAGCUUGAUGGUGAGGUAAUGGCUCACCAUGGCUUCGACGGGUAGCCGGCCUGAGAGGGUGACCGGUCACACUGGGACUGAGACACGGCCCAGACUCCUACGGGAGGCAGCAGUGGGGAAUAUUGGACAAUGGGCGGAAGCCUGAUCCGGCAACGCCGCGUGAGGGAUGACGGCCUUCGGGUUGUAAACCUCUUUCACCCAUGACGAAGCGCAAGUGACGGUAGUGGGAGAAGAAGCACCGGCCAACUACGUGCCAGCAGCCGCGGUAAUACGUAGGGUGCGAGCGUUGUCCGGAAUUAUUGGGCGUAAAGGGCUCGUAGGCGGUUUGUCGCGUCGGGAGUGAAAACCAGGUGCUUAACACCUGGCUUGCUUUCGAUACGGGCAGACUAGAGGUAUUCAGGGGAGAACGGAAUUCCUGGUGUAGCGGUGAAAUGCGCAGAUAUCAGGAGGAACACCGGUGGUGAAGGCGGUUCUCUGGGAAUGACCUGACGCUGAGGAGCGAAAGUGUGGGGAGCGAACAGGAUUAGAUACCCUGGUAGUCCACACCGUAAACGUUGGGCGCUAGGUGUGGGGUCCAUUCCACGGAUUCCGUGCCGCAGCUAACGCAUUAAGCGCCCCGCCUGGGGGAGUACGGCCGCAAGGCUAAAACUCAAAGGAAUUGACGG
rnacentral:rRNA from 1 species